UACAGAGGUCUCAAGCGUUGUUCGGAUUCAUUGGGCGUAAAGGGUGUGUAGGUGGCGCGCUAAGUCGGGUGUGAAAUUUCGGAGCUUAACUCCGAAACUGCAUUCGAUACUGGCGUGCUUGAGGACUGGAGAGGAGACUGGAAUUCAUGGUGUAGCAGUGAAAUGCGUAGAGAUCUUGAGGAAGACCAGUGGCGAAGGCGGGUCUCUGGACAGUUCCUGACACUGAGACACGAAGGCCAGGGGAGCAAACGGG
rnacentral:rRNA from 1 species